GCUUGCAUCCUGCGGGGGGAGGAUGAGGUUCAUCCUCUGCGCUGACGUGGUCCAAUAACGUGGUGACACGUGUCCAAUAUUAAAAAUAAUAAUAAAACUUGGGUAGCCCAGGUUCAACCCAUUUUUCUUUUCUCUCUCAUCACUCUCAAUACCUAAUAUCUUUUCUCUCAGUGUCUACAGACUGCCUCAAACCCAAUUUCACUUCCUCUCCAUCGCCACCAAGAUCUGACUCUCUUUCUCUCACUCUAAAAAUGUUACAUAAUUGUUGACCCUUCAGUAUCUCUAGUAGAUCUUUGAUUUUUACAACAUCCCUCCUGACUUAUGGAGGAGAUAGAUUAUGUAAGCUUAAGUAGUGAACCAUCAAAUAGUUGUCAAAUUGAUGAUGAUUAUUCUUCUCCUACUAAUGAAUUUUCCUCAAAAAAAGAAAAUCAAGAAGAAAGAGAUGAACUAGAACUUGGAAUGGAGUUUAGUUCAUGUGAUGAAGCAUAUAAGUUGUACCUCAACUAUGGUCGCAAACUUGGUUUCGAUGUAAGGAGAAAUCAUCAGAGAAAAAAUAUAGCGGCGCUCAUCACGGGGGUUACCUUUUGUUGUUCAAAAGAAGGUAAAAGGAAAGAGAUCAAAACUCCUUUGUACCAUCAACCUAUUACAAGAUUUGGUUGUUUGGCUCAUAUGAAAUGUAGACUUCAAAACAAUGGCAAAUUCAAAGUUGUAUCGUUGAACAAAAUCCAUAAUCAUGACUUAAUUAGAACUCCAAUGAAACAUAUGAUGAGAGUUAAUCGAAAUAUUUCAAAGGCUCAAAAAGAACAUGCUGAAGAUGCAGAGAAGUCGAGAUUGCCACUAAAAGGAACUAUGGAGUUGAUGAGUAGAGAAGUUGGCAGUAGGGAACAUCUUGGUUUUCUAGAUAAGGAUUACCGAAAUUACAUACAUAGAAAGCGAAAGAUGGCAAUGCUAAGAAGAGAUGCAGGAGCAAUUUUAGAAUAUUUUAAAAAAAUGCAGCUGAAGGAUUCAUCAUAUUUUUGUUCAAUGCAAGUGGAUGAGGAUGAUAUGAUCACUAAUAUUUUUUGGGCUGAUGCAUGCUCAAUUAAUGAUUAUGGCCUAUUCGGAGAUGUUGUGUGCUUCGAUAGUACUUAUCGAACAAAUGAAUAUGGUUAACCUUUUGCACCAUUUAUUGGGGUGAAUCAUCAUAAACAAACAAUCGUGUUUGGUGCAGCCUUACUUUACGAUGAAACCAUUGAAUCAUUUAAGUGGUUGUUUCAGACUUUCCUUGAUGCAAUGUCCGGAAAGCAGCCUAAGACAAUUCUGAUAGAUCAAUCUGCUAUAAUGGCAAAAGCAAUAUCGCUUGUCUUUUCUGAAUCUCAACAUCGAUUAUGUGUUUGGCAUAUUUAUCAAAAUGCAGCCAAGAAUUUGAGUCAUGUGUUUAAUAAAUCAAACCACUUUGCUUAUGACCUUAGUAAGUGUGUGUACGAUUAUGAAGAUGAAAAUGAGCGGCUAUUGGCAUGGAAUAGUAUGCUGGAAAAUACAGUCUUGAAGAGAAUAAAUGGUUGAAAGAGUUGGGCAAUGGUUUAUGGACGACACACUUUCACUGCGGAUAUGAAAACUACCAAACGUAGUGAAAGUAUGAAUAAUGUGUUAAAGAAUUACUUGAAGUCGAGUCAUAAUCUUUUGCGUUUCUUUGAGCAUUAUGAGAGGGUUUUGAAUGAUCGGUGGUAUGAAGAACUACGUGCAGAUUUUAACAUGAUCCGAAGUAAGCCCAUGUUAUUAACUAAUGUGGUGAUGUUACGUCAUGGUGUAGAAAUCUACACCCUGAAAGUGUUUGAAUUGUUUUAGAAAGAGUACAUGAGGUUGGGUGAUUACAACGUGUAUAAAGUGGCAAAGGAUGGGACAAAAGUUGAAUACAUAGUAUCUUGUGUUGGAAAAUCUCAAGGGUAUGUGGUUAAUUUCGAAGCUUCAACAGAAACAGUCGUGUAGUUGUAUAAAGUUCACUUUUAUUGGGAUUUUAUGUGUUCAUGCUUUGAAAGUGUUAGAUAAGAAGAAUAUAAAAAGGAUUCCGCCCCAAUAUAUCAUGAAAAGAUGGACAAGAGAUGCAAAGGCAAGGACAUUCACCAAUUAUCAUGGAAUUGAAGCCAAUGACAAUCCUAAAGUGUCUAUGGGAAAGCGUUAUAGUCAUUUGUGUCGAAAUUUUCGUGAGAUUUCAUCUUUAGCAUCGGAACAUGAGAAGUUAUAUGUAUAUGCAAAUGAUCGUGCUCUUGUGUUGCUUAAUGACUUGGAGGAAUUGAAGAAAGAACUUUACUCAAAUAAUGUUAGUAGCGGCGAAAGUUUAGUUGGUCGAAAUGAGGAAGUUGAUACGAUAGCUCCACAAAAGAAUUGUGUGUCAAUAGGGUUUAAAAGAAAAGCCACAAUCGGCGUCCACGUAAUCGAUUAAAAGGUGCACUUGAAAAGCGAAGAAAAAACUUACAUACCAAAGAUUCAACAAGACAACAAAAGACCCCUGAGGAGCCUAUUUUUAGUAGUUGGAACUCACAAGAGCAACAAGCUAGACAUGAUAUUUUUACCCAGGAAUCUCAAAUUGGUCUUGGAGUAGAGACGCCUUCCGCAUCCCAUUCAAUGAUGAACUAUGAUCAUGAAAAUUUUGAGGCAAUCACAAAUCGGCAACCCAAUAUGUUUUACACACGAUUACUUCAGGA